UCUCUACACUCCGCUCCCCAGUCCCCACCUCCUCCAGUCCUCCCGCACGGCCGCUCCUCCGCGACGACACCAACCGUCCAGAAGCGGAGUCGCCGCCUCGACCCGGGGUCCCCCCGUCCCCGUCGUGGUCGGCACCACGCACAUCCCGAGGCACCACCCGCUCGUUGUCGGCACGCCCGAGCCUGCCAAGAAGGAGGCCGUACCGCGGAGGGGCUCUUGGGGCCGAGAAGCAUAGCGGCGCCGACGAUGCCGGGGUGCUCGCAUCACCCAAGGUUGUCAGGCCCAUCGCGCUCAACUUCGAGGAGAAGACGCCCGUCAAGGAGCGGCCCUCGCCAGCGCGGAGCUCGGCGUUGGUCAAGAAGAGCACCACCAUCAUGCCCAGGCUGGUGACACACGGCUGGAGCUUCGUCGCCGACAGGGCAAUCCACCUCCUCCUCCACAGAACAAGAUCCCAAAGGGCCGGUUCCACCUGAGAAGAGCUCGAUGAGCUGCACGGCUCACGCACCAUGAGCAGGAGGCCCAGGGAGAAGGAGCCCUCCUUGCUGGUCUCCGACGGCCGGCGUCGGCGACACAACUGCCUCCCCCAAGAGGAGGCCCUCCUUGUCGGAUUCUCCCGAGCUGGUGCUAGGGAAGCUCAAUGCUCUCGGCAAGGCAAGUGAUCACAUUCAGAUGGGCUCUUCUCUCUGUUGGUUUUUCUAUCUGCCUUUUCUUUGAACUGAUCCGACGCUGGGAAAUUUUAUUUCAGGAAGCCAGGGAAUAGGCGCAGAAUCAAUGGCAAGCCGAGUCGACAGGUGACUUCACACAUCAAAUCGAAUCGAUGGUGUUUUUCUACUGGCACAUCAGUGCAAAAAAAUGACAAUUGAUAGCCUCUCCUUUAGCUAUCAUACCAUGUGUUGUGUCACUAAGUUACGAUCUCAGCUGCGGUCUACAUAUUUUCAGAUUAAUGAAGCUUAUAGCCCUCCAAUGCAGUAUCUGUAUGCUUUACAAAACUAUCCGAGUAUUGCAAAAUUGCAUGAUACAUCAAAUUGGAGCGUAGCCUACAUACUUAUGGACUGUGGACUUAUGUUGCUUAUUUAGAGGCUGCCGUACAUGGAUCAGAUAUGAUAUUGAUUGCAGAAAUUUGUAUACGACUCUUGUGGAUUUCAACAUUGUUCUUCUCCCUAAUUUAGGAAAACUACAAGUAUUUGGUGCACGAUCUAAAAUAGCUGCAGGCUAAUCCUCCCCUAAUGUUCAUAAUGUUCUGUGGUACACAAUAUGGGUAAAGGAGAGCACAUUGCUCUAAUGUUUUUGCAUAUGAUAUUAAAUCAGACAUUUCAGUGGAUAAUAUAUGGUAUUGACUUGGACAUUGGUGUUGUGGAACAAUCUAGCAGGUAUUGGAUCUUAUAGAAUUAUAGAGUUGGCAGGGUCUGAAAAUCAUGGUGUUGGUGUUUCAGCCUAUUAAUCUGUAGAUAAAGAAAUUCCGUACAUCUCUACAAAUAAUCCUGAAGAAAGUUCUACUAUUGCGAACGCUCCAACUGAACAAGAAAUAUGAUUUUUUUUUUAAUUGAAGAAGCCAGUUUCUCGAGAAGGAAUACAGAAUAAUAUUUUGGAUUAUUUACUUGAGGUCUCAGAUUCAUCGCAUCAACCGUGAGGGGUAGUAUGCAAGGAUCAACCGAUGUGGAUAACAAAAUCUGGGUGCGAGCUUCCGGGAAAUCUAAUUGGGUCUAUGCAAACAAGCAGAUUUGGAAGAUAAUCCCUGUACAUGUAUGACUAUACGAACUCUUCUU